rnacentral:rRNA from 1 species
CCUACGGGAGGCAGCAGUAGGGAAUCUUCCACAAUGGGCGAAAGCCUGAUGGAGCAACGCCGCGUGGGUGAAGAAGGUCUUCGGAUCGUAAAACCCUGUUGUUAGAGAAGAAAGUGCGUGAGAGUAACUGUUCACGUUUCGACGGUAUCUAACCAGAAAGCCACGGCUAACUACGUGCCAGCAGCCGCGGUAAUACGUAGGUGGCAAGCGUUAUCCGGAUUUAUUGGGCGUAAAGGGAACGCAGGCGGUCUUUUAAGGCUGAUGUUAAAGCCUUCGGCUUAACCGGAGUAGUGCAUUGGAAACUGGGAGACUUGAGUGCAGAAGAGGAGAGUGGAACUCCAGGUGUAGCGGUGAAAUGCGUAGAUAUAUGGAAGAACACCAGUGGCGAAGGCGGCUCUCUGGUCUGUAACUGACGCUGAGGUUCGAAAGCGUGGGUAGCAAACAGGAUUAGAUACCCCAGUAGUC